CUGCCCACAGGGGGGGAUUUAAAAUGACAACUUUUUCACAAAAAAUUAACUUUUUCAACUUAACUUUUGAAAAUGUUCCGGAAGGUCUGACACUUUUAUAUAUAUCUUAAAUUAAAGCUAAUGUAAUAUACUUUAAUUUGAAAAAAAAAAAUUUGACCUCUGGACUUUUCUUCACGGCGAAAAUGGCUACCGAAUGCUAUUUUCGUGUGAAAAUUCUCGAUUUUAUUAUUCAUAUUAUAUUUAACUUUAUAAUGCUAUAACUUAUUGAAAAGUUUAUGGAUCCACACAAUUUUUUUAUGAGAAAUAAUAUUUUUUAAUAAACCCUUUUUCAUUCGACAUACUUUAUCUUAAUCGAGAUAUUAAGGAACCAGCAGAUCAAGUAGCUUUUGGAAUAAAACACCAAUUUUUUUAAAAUUAAACACUAUCUAAAGAUUUGCAUCGAAGCGUUUAUUUUUGAUAGUGAUUUUAAUCACUGUCAGAUAUCAUUAUACUUGAUCCAACUAUACCACGUCACAACUGUGCCGCGACCCCCCUGUGCUGGGUUUUUUU